rnacentral:rRNA from 1 species
UUAAAAAGCUCGUAGUUGGAUUUCUGUGAAAAACCAACGGUCUCAUUCUUAAUGAUGCAUCUGUUUGGGUUUUUACAUCUUUUCGCAAACUGUAUUCUUGCUUCAUUGCAAGGUAUAGCGUGCGAAACUUUUACUUUGAGGAAAUUAGAGUGUUCAUAGCAAGCAAACGCUUUGAAUAUAUUAGCAUGGAAUAAUAACAUAAGACUGAGUCUUGAUUUUAUUGGUUUCUUAGGACUUAGUAAUGAUAAAUAGGGAUAAUUGGGGCCAUUUCUACUGACGCGUCAGAGGUGGAAUUCUUGGAUUGCGUCAUGAGAAACUACUGCGAAAGCAUUUGGCAAGGAUGUUUUCAUUGAUCAAGAACGAAAGUUUGGGGAUCGAAGAUGAUUAGAUACCGUCGUAGUCCAAACCAUAAACUAUGCCAACUAGAGAUGUGCCAGUGAUUUUUUCGGUCCUGGUGUGCACCUUAUGAGAAAUCAAAGUCUUUGGGUUCCGGGGAGAGUAUGGUCGCAAGGCUGAAACUUAAAGGAAUUGACGGAAGGGCACCACCAGGAGUGGAGCCUGCGGCUUAAUUUGACU